rnacentral:lncRNA from 1 species
UGUUUUUUCCUUAACAUUUGUUCUAAUCUUUUUGAUUAGUUCAUUUUUCUUGCUUUAUUUUUGUAGGCCACGUGGCAACAUGUUUUAGAGGCAGUCUGUGAUGUAACAGCACUGCUGUCACCUGCAUGUCCAGCUGUGCUGGUGGCUCAGAGAAGUGGACUAAUGAGGGUCCUAAGCAGUGAAUGGACUCGCCACGCUCCACUGCCGGCAUUUACACAUCUCUCACCAUGCGCCUUCCCGUGGAGAUUGGCUCACUUCGUUUUCUUCAUGAUGAAUGUCUCUCUGAACCUCUUGUGGCAUUUGAGUGAACUGCCGCUAUUUUACAGAUUCCAGCCCAGACAUGAUUCAUCCAAUAGAAACUGCAGAGGAAUUUGCUGCAUCACAAAACACAUACCCUGUUGAGGCUUUCAUAUG